rnacentral:rRNA from 1 species
GGAGUUAGCCGGUGCUUCUUCUGUGAGUGAUGUCCUUCCUGCCGGCUAUUAACCCGCAGGCCUUCUUCCUCACUGAAAGUGCUUUACAACCCGAAGGCCUUCUUCACACACGCGGCAUGGCUGGAUCAGGGUUGCCCCCCAUUGUCCAAUAUUCCCCACUGCUGCCUCCCGUAGGAGUCUGGGCCGUGUCUCAGUCCCAGUGUGGCUGAUCAUCCUCUCGGACCAGCUACGGAUCGUCGCCUUGGUGAGCCGUUACCUCACCAACCAGCUAAUCCGACAUAGGCUCAUCCGAUAGCGCGAGGCCCGAAGGUCCCCCGCUUUCCCCCGUAGGGCGUAUGCGGUAUUAGCCUGGGUUUCCCCCAGGUUAUCCCCCACUACCGGGCAGAUUCCUAUGCAUUACUCACCCGUCCGCCGCUCGCCACCAGGGAGCAAGCUCCCCGUGCUGCCGCUCGACUUGCAUGUGUUAGGCCUGCCGCCAGCGUUCAAUCUGAGCCAUAAUCAAACUCUGA